CUUAAUGGUAGUAUAUGGACAUGUGACACAUACAAUAGUGGUUAUCUUACUUUUUUUAUAGGACAGCAUCAAAACAUGUAAACAAAGACCUGGGAAACAUGGAGGAAAACAAAAAAUUAGAAGAAAACAAUCACAAAACAGAAGCUUAAGAGAAAUAUUUUUCCCCCAAUUGCUGUUACAGAGUUUUGUUUAAGGAAAUUCUAAAAUUUUUAAACACCUGUUUUCUGAAAUAAAACAUGAACACUAAAAAAAAGA
rnacentral:lncRNA from 1 species